rnacentral:rRNA from 1 species
UACGGAGGGGGCUAGCGUUAUUCGGAAUUACUGGGCGUAAAGCGCACGUAGGCGGCUUUGUAAGUCAGAGGUGAAAGCCUGGAGCUCAACUCCAGAACUGCCUUUGAGACUGCAUCGCUUGAAUCCAGGAGAGGUGAGUGGAAUUCCCAGUGUAGCGGUGAAAUGCGUAGAUAUUGGGAGGAACACCAGUGGCGAAGGCGGCUCACUGGACCGGAACUGACGCUGAGGCGCGAAAGCGUGGGGAGCAAACAGGG